UUUGACAAUCCAGUGUUUACUGUUUUGUGAAAAAGAAGUGGAAGAAGUUGGGAAAGUAAAUUGCGGAAGCAUUACUUUCGCAUCUUCAGCCUCAACUAUUUGAAAGAUGGCUUGAUAAUGCCUGUUUUGAACGCAAGGGAGAUAUUUGAUUGUGAAUAUGAAAGUCUAGGAGCUAUUGCAGCAACAAACAUAAUACAUGUCCCAAAGCCUCUUGCAAUUGUGGACAAUCGCUUGGGUGGAGCUUUGUUUGUUUCAGAGUAUAUUGAUAUGAAAACACUGAACCAGUUCUCUCAAGAACUUGGGCAGCAAUUGGCGAGAUUACACCUGCAUAAUGCUGUUCUGGGAAAACAAAAAAUCAAAGGAUUUGUAGGGAAGGAGGAAAAUGUCCAAUUUGUAAAAGAAUUUGGUUUCCAUGUUAAAACACGAUUUGGGAACACACUUUUGGAAAAUGAAUGGUGCAGUGACUGGCCUACCUUUUUCGUGAGACACAGACUCAGUUAUCAAUUUAGGUUACUUGAGGAGAAUUAUGCAGAUGCUGAGGCACGAGAACUGUGGUCACAGCUACUUAGGAAACUACCACAGUUUUUUGAAGGAGCAGAUAUAAAACCAUCGUUAUUGCAUGGGAACUUACAAAGAGACAAUAUUGCGGAAACUAACACACAUCCAGUCACUUUUCAUCCAGCAUCUUUUUUUGGUCAUCAAGAUUUUGAUCUGGUUACUUCACAAAUGUAUGGUGGUCUUGGACAAGCAUUCUAUAAUGCGUAUUAUGACAUAAUACCUAGGGCCACGGGUUCAAGGAAAAGGAAUCAGAUCUAUAAAUUAUUUCAUCUCCUAAAUAAAUGCAUGUGUUCCUCACUCCUGUAUCCACUAAAGAACCACCAGCAUUCAAGGAAGACAUAACGCCUUUGUGAUCUACUUUGGAGAGAGGGGUGCAUGAUAAAUAUCCUCUUCCAUCAUCUUUACUGGAAGAUGCCACUGUUGUGCAAGAAGAAUGGUAUAAGAUACCCUUGAAUAUGAUACUGGACUGAUAUUUAUCCAUUUCGAAGCAAAUGGAAGCUAUUGUGAAUGCUAAUAGUUUUUCUGCACCGUAUUAGUCAUGGAACCAGUCUGGAGAAGAACACAAGAAGAAAGCUAUAUCAUUAAUGAAGUUUUUGUUGAAAGGACCAUAAGAAUUCACUACUACUACAUAAAAAAAAAUUACAGUUGAAAAUAAACACCAUUUUACAAAAUCAAUUUUUUUGUGCCAUGUAUUUAUCUGAAUCAAAAUGUAGCAUUCAGUUUUAGCUUUUAGAAAUUGUGGUAUGUCUGCUUUUAAUGUAAAGGAUUUUUGAGAUUCCCGAUUACCUGAACAUAAACAUGUUUCUGAAAUUUUAAAGUAGUUUGCUGAGCUGUAUAGUGGGUGAGAUAACAGAAGAAAUAAUAUAUUUUUGGACUGUAAAUUUUAUAAAUUUUAUGUUAAGUGUAAUCACAGAACUGGAUGUUAUUUAUUUGUUGUAUACUUGGAUUGCAUGCAUAGGCAAUAACAAAGAUUCAUCAAGUAAACUGUGCCAUAUUCCUGACUGUGAACACAAGUAACAUUCUAAUUUGCAAACAUAGUAACAAAUUAAAUAACAUUGUAACUAAUAAUUAUGCUUUUGAAAUGAUUUGUCUGCAAACAGUAAGUAGACUCAUAAAAAGUAUGGAGGACAUUCCAUUAUGUAUCACUGCCACACUGUAUAUUCCUUUGUUAUAAACUUUAUACUAAUAUACUAGUGAAAUGUAUGAAGAAAGAGAGUCUGACAUUGUAUGUAUUACAUUAUUCUUAUUAUAAAUUUAACAACAGACUAUGCACGAGAUGAUGAUGUAGCUACGUGUAGCUGAUAGCUAAACUACUGUUUAAAAUUUACACAAAUGAAUUAAAGAUGCUGAAAUGAAAGUAAUGGAUUCAUUGGUGUAAAACUGAUAAAGAUGCAGUGACAUGAAAUGAUUUCAGUGCAAGCUGAUCAAAUAUGCCAAACGUGUUGUAAUAACCUUAGAGUACCAACUGAAAAUUUGGCCAGACAAGGAUUCGCACCCAGAUUUUUUGCUUUUCGGAAGCAGUUGUCCCAGGCAUUAGUCAAAUUCACUGUAAAACAUCAAACUCAUAGUUGUGCCAACUUAUCUUGGGCCUGCAUAUAAGCAGCUUCUGUGGCAAGCAUUAAUUCUAGAGGAACAGGGUGGACUCACACUCAAAGGCAAAUUUUCAGGGGUUGAAAAAGGGAUAUUUUCUGAAUGAGACCUGUGGUAGUUUGUGGCCGAUUACCGGGUAAUUACAUUUAAUUUGAUUUUGUACCCCCAUUUAUCCUUGUAUCUGAAUUCCAAUGAAAAUAUCUGCACAACAUUGUAAAUGACAAUGGUUCGCAUGACCUGUCUUGGUUGGAAGCACAUUUUUUUCAUUCACUCACAGUACUUACGGUUGAUAACAGUAGUACCCACUUUACAGCUCGUCCUCCCACUCUCAUUCAUUAGUGCUCGGCUCUGUCUCUAGUUUGUUUAGUAAUAGUUGCAUGUUAACGAUGAUACACAGCUGUAUGAAUAAUUUUACUGAUGAGGAGUUGGCCGUUAUGCAUCUCAGAUAUGGGUUCACUGAGUAUAGUGGAAGAGCACCUUUAUUUCUCUAUAUUGAGGUCUUCCCACAUUGAUGAUGACUAAAUCCCUGCACUUUUGCAUCUACAACUUUCGCAACUCUGCAUGCUGUUGACAUUUGCACUGUCAUGCCGAUAUUUACGGUGCAGUACAGAUACAGACAUAAAUGGGGGUUAAUAAUAACGAAAAUAAAAACAAAACUGAGACAAUUAUUGUGUAAUGAGCCGCCAGAGAUUAUGGUCCCAUAUAUAAAAAUAUUUGGAAAAUAUCUCUGAACAGCCUCCGAAAUUUUGUACUUGGUGCUAGGGUUUAUCCUGUAUAUAUGGAACACACUACAGCUGAUAUUACAAUUAACAGUACAUUGUGUCAUCCUCAAUAAUGUAAAAUGUCGGAUAAAUGUAAGUAUUAUGCUAUGAGAGGGACAGUGCACUAAUAG